rnacentral:tRNA from 1 species
GUUUUCAUGGUGUAGUUGGUUAUCACAUCUGCUUAACACGCAGAAGGCCUCCAGUUCUUUCCAGAGUUAGACCC